rnacentral:misc_RNA from 1 species
ACUUGGAAGCGGUAAAAAGAUUCCGUGAAAGCUUGUUGAAUUUGAAGAAGAGCCUCAAAUAAAUCUUGAUAGGCUAUAUUAAGCCUUACCUAUUGCACGCCGCACUUUACUAUACUCAACAUCACUUAUCAUUAGUAUUCACCAGAAAAUUAUUAAGAUUAAUUCAAACUACUACUAAUAAGUAUUAAAAAUGGUUACAGCACAACUAGGUUGUAAAAAUUUACUGCAAUACUGAGUAUUUUUCAUAUUUAUUUGAACUUUUAAGGUCUAACAAGAGAUACUAUGUAUGUUAGCUAGGAUGCCAUUGCCUAUACACAUAGCAAGCUCUUCUGGUAAUAAAAGUUGUCUAAAGAGAGUGAUUGAUACUGUUGCUCCUGAAGUUCUUGAAAUAAAGAAUGAAUGUGGAAAGACACCUUUGAUGUUGGCUGUUAUUCACAAUCACUUUGAAUCUGUGAACCUUCUACUCAAAGCUGCAGUACAUGUUGAUAACUCUGAUUCUCUGGGACAAACAGCUCUAUAUAUAGCCACUAAUAAGACGUACACCUCUACAUUACGCUUGUAUGAGAAGUGGUUAUUUGAAUUGUGUAUCAGUGCUUCUUGAAUCUAAUGCAGAUCCUAACAUUGUUGAUAAUAAGGGUAAAUUACCUCUGCAUUGGGCAGUAUUGGCUAAUCAUUGCGAAAUUGUAAAGUUGCUAUGUGAUUAUGAGACAGAUGUAAAUACAAUGAUGAAGAAAAAUGAUUGGAUUACUGCACUUGAUUUAGCAGUUAUGAAGAAUCAUUAUAAAAUUGUCAAAGUACUAAAAAUAUAUGAUGCACUUCAUGCUGAUGAAAUUAAAAAUAUUGCCGCUCAAGCAAUUCAACAAUGGUAUCGAAAUCAUCACUUUAUGAAACAAAUCUAUCAUAACCUUCAUGCAAAGAUGGCAGAAUUGCUAUGAAAUAGUUAACGAACCACCCUGUUGUCAUUAUUUAAAAAAUUUUUUGACUGGCUUCCAUCAGUGGGGCCUCUGAAUCAUGCCCACAAGAGGUCUGGAUGUUUUGCAUUGUGAAGUAUUUUGUUUCUACAAACUGCAGUCUGUCAAACCAUCUGUAAAACGAUUUCUAUGAUUGUGCUGAGAAAAACGGAAAUCUAUCUCCAAACAGUUAAAAUGUCAUCCACUUAGCUAUACUUUGCUUGCAUCAAAAUUUGCUCCAUUAUAAGCCUGUUAAACUAGAAAGCUGCAUAAAAUUCUCCCAUGGUUGGUAAACAAAUGUAUAAACCUUUGAUCUCUAUGGAGACUAUGGGACUGUGCAAUUUAAGAAAAGCAAAGAUUGUGCUGGACGUGGAAGAAGGGGUUAAGAUAUUUGCUUCUGUUUUUAAAUUCUGUCUGUGGGCUGAAUCAGUUUAUGGCUCAAGUUUGUUCCGAUGCUUUGGUGGUUAUGUUUUUCUAUUUUGACAAAAUGUGUCAAAAUGUUUUUCUAUUUUUAACUUAAUAAAAUUCUCCAAAAAAUUUGUUGGUUAUAAUUUAAUAAUAAUAGAUUUUAUAUUUCACUCUUUUUCUGAAAGCUUUUGAACUCCCAUUGAAAGAAAUCUAUAAGUUAUUUUUUCUCUGCAAACCAACCAAUCACACAUUUUCAUACAAUCGCUAACAGCAAUGUUUUUCAACAAAUUGUUGCAUUACUCUUGCAGCCAUAUACUCUUUUGUCUAAAAACUAAAUAAUCUUUGCCUUUUUUUUAAAAAAAAAUCCAAAUAUUUAAAGAACAACUAAUCUUAAUAU